GGUCUUGUGGUGUAGUGGUUAUCACGUCUGCUUCACAUGCAGAAGGUCGCCGGUUCGAUCCCGCUCAGGACCU
rnacentral:tRNA from 1 species